AUGAACGCUGGCGGCGUGCCUAAUCCAUGCCCGUCGAGCGAACGGACGAGAAGCUUGCUUCUCUGAUGUUAGCGGCGGACGGGUGAGUAACACGUGGAUAACCUACCUAUAAGACUGGGAUAACUUCGGGAAACCGUAGCUAAUACCGGAUAAUAUUUUGAACCGCAUGGUUCAAAAGUGAAAGACGGUCUUGCUGUCACUUAUAGAUGGAUCCGCGCUGCAUUAGCUAGUUGGUAAGGUAACGGCUUACCAAGGCAACGAUGCAUAGCCGACCUGAGAGGGUGAUCGGCCACACUGGAACUGAGACACGGUCCAGACUCCUACGGGGGGCAGCAGUAGGGAAUCUUCCGCAAUGGGCGAAAGCCUGACGGAGCAACGCCGCGUGAGUGAUGAAGGUCUUCGGAUCGUAAAACUCUGUUAUUAGGGAAGAACAUAUGUGUAAGUAACUGUGCACAUCUUGACGGUACCUAAUCAGAAAGCCACGGCUAACUACGUG
rnacentral:rRNA from 1 species